UACGGGGGGAGCAAGCGUUGUUCGGAUUUACUGGGCGUAAAGGGCGCGUAGGCGGCCAGCGCAAGUCAGUUGUGAAAUCUCCGGGCUUAACUCGGAACGGUCAACUGAUACUGCGCGGCUAGAGUGCAGAAGGGGCAACUGGAAUUCUCGGUGUAGCGGUGAAAUGCGUAGAUAUCGAGAGGAACACCGGCGGCGAAGGCGGGUUGCUGGGCUGACACUGACGCUGAUGCGCGAAAGCCAGGGGAGCGAACGGG
rnacentral:rRNA from 1 species